GAUGAACGCUAGCUACAGGCUUAACACAUGCAAGUCGAGGGGAAACGAUAUUGGAAGCUUGCUUCCGAUAGGCGUCGACCGGCGCACGGGUGAGUAACGCGUAUCCAACCUGCCCACCACUUGGGGAUAACCUUGCGAAAGUAAGACUAAUACCCAAUGAUAUCUCUAGAAGACAUCUGAAAGGGAUUAAAGAUUUAUGGGUGAUGGAUGGGGAUGCGUCUGAUUAGCUUGUUGGCGGGGUAACGGCCCACCAAGGCUACGGUCAGUAGGGGGUCUGAGAGGAAGGUCCCCCACAUUGGAACUGAGACACGGUCCAAACUCCUACGGGAGGCAGCAGUGAGGAAUAUUGGUCAAUGGGCGAGAGCCUGAACCAGCCAAGUAGCGUGCAGGAUGACGGCCCUAUGGGUUGUAAACUGCUUUUAUAAGGGAACAAAGUGAGUCUCGUGAGACUUUUUGCAUGUACCUUAUGAAUAAGGACCGGCUAAUUCCGUGCCAGCAGCCGCCGUAA
rnacentral:rRNA from 1 species